rnacentral:rRNA from 1 species
GAUGAACGCUGGCGGCGUGCUUAACACAUGCAAGUCGAACGAUGAAGCCCAGCUUGCUGGGUGGAUUAGUGGCGAACGGGUGAGUAACACGUGAGUAACCUGCCCUUAACUCUGGGAUAAGCCUGGGAAACUGGGUCUAAUACCGGAUAGGAGCGUCCACCGCAUGGUGGGUGUUGGAGAGAUUUAUCGGUUUUGGAUGGACUCGCGGCCUAUCAGCUUGUUGGUGAGGUAAUGGCUCACCAAGGCGACGACGGGUAGCCGGCCUGAGAGGGUGACCGACCACACUGGGACUGAGACACGGCCCAGAAGCCUACGGGAGGCAGCAGUGGGGAAUAUUGCACAAUGGGCGCAAGCCUGAUGCAGCGACGCCGCGUGAGGGAUGACGGCCUUCGGGUUGUAAACCUCUUUCAGUAGGGAAGAAGCGAAAGUGACGGUACCUGCAGAAGAAGCACCGGCUAACUACGUG